CAGCAACUGCGUGUUGCUAUCAUGUCAAUAUGGAGCAAAAUCUCUGAGGAAUGUUUCCAGGACCUUGUUGAAUCUAUUCCAUGAAGGAUUAAGGUAGUUCUGAAGGCAAAAGGGGGUCCAACCCAGUACUAGCCAGGUGUACCUAAUAAAGUGGCCGAUUCACACCUGUGCUGCCUGAGUUUCCUGCCUAUCAAGAUUACCCUACAAUCCGUGAAUACUGGAGUCCAAUCCAGUGCUUUUCACAGUACACUGAUGACAAAAUCUUUGAGGAUCUGGCAGCUUUUACAAAUCAAAGACAGCUGCAAACUACGGGAGUGUCACUGAAUACUACUGCCCAAGAAAUCAAGAUUGUCUUUGGCAUUUCAGUACACAUGACCUGCCUUGGCUAUCCCAGAGUCAAAAUGUUUUGGGCUAAAAAAAAAAGUGCCUGUUAUUAGCAGGAAAAUGCUGAGAUGCUCACUCAAGAUUGUCAAUGCGCUGGCUCUAGGUGCUUAUUUUCUAAAUUCAGUUUCAUUUGUACUCGGAUCUCGUCCUGUUGUCCUCUACAGUGGACAUGCUGUGAAAUUAAAAUAAAAAAUAUAUUUAAAAACAAACA